UACGAGUGCCCCAAGCGUUAUCCGGAAUCAUUGGGCGUAAAGGGUGUGUAGGUGGUCUGAUUAGUCUUCUGUGAAAUUCUUCGGCUUAACCGGGGGUCCGCAGAGGAAACGGUCAGACUCGAGGAUGCGAGGGGUCAGUGGAACUCAUGGAGUAGGGGUGAAAUCCGUUGAUAUCAUGGGGAACACCAAAAGCGAAGGCAACUGACUGGCGCAUUCCUGACACUGAAACACGAAAGCGUGGGUAGCGAACUGG
rnacentral:rRNA from 1 species